UUUUUGACUUCUAAAUUAAAUGAAGCAUGUUUAGGUUACCUGAUUUUAAAUUUGUACUUGGUCUUUACAUUCCUUUAACUACUAUGUAAUAACAUUUAAAUACAUUUGAUACAAUGUACUUAUUGUAAACUGUACAUACAUGUUUUUACAUUGUACUUAUAUAUAACAUAAAUACCUGCAUGUAAUUACAGCUGUAAUUUCUGUAAACCGUUGACCCAUCCCUUCCACCUUAACCCACUUUUAAUCCUAACCACUCUUCUUCCUGCUAAACCAGUAUAUCACAUGAGAAGGAAGUUUUUUUUUCUUUCUGUUUGUAUUCUUCUAGCUUGUUGCUUACCUGCUCUACUCAGAAGAGUGAUGGGAAUUGUGCUAUAAAUGUCAGAAAUCAUCAAAGGAGCUGGAUCACAGAGAUGGAGAAUGUGGACAUGAUGGCAGACAACACUAAAAUUAAUAUAUCAAAAAAGCCCAGACAGAGCAUUGACUAUUCUAUUAACUUCAAUGAGGAGAACCCAUUAGUGCAAAGAGGAGCCAGUUUCUCAGAUGACUCUACAAGAGAUGAAUGUGUUUCCACAGAGAAAAUAAAUGAAAACCAAACACAGGAGAAAUGCAGUGCAGGACGGCAUGAGGGAAAAUCUGUACUUGAAAAGAAGAACUCUAUCAGCUCUAUCCGCUCUAUGUGUUCAUUUGAUUCAGGAUAUGGUUCAAUAAAACACAGAGUUUCCCCCAUCUCUGAAAAUGAUGAAGAGAACAAAUAAACUGAUGUCAACUUCAAAUAAGACCAGCAGCACAGACAAAAUCCACCCCUAAAAUUUGAUGGCCACUCCAGGAGCCAGCAUCAAUAUCUAAUCUAUGACUUGAAUUGUUUUGUGAUUCAUUUGGAAUCAUUCGGACAGAUCACUCACACACUGAAUCCUGCAGAACAGUUUCUCAGUCAGUAAACAACAAGGUACUUUACAGUGAUCAGAUUUCUGAAAUGAAAAGGGACUUUUUUAUUCAGUCAAUAUAAUGUUUGUUAAUGUUAUUAAAGUUGUAAAGGGUUGUCGGUAUAAUGCAUAUGAAGAGCACAUAAACUGUAUGUCCUGAAAAUUAUUUAUGUUAUGUGAUAUUCAUACAGAAGGUCUAACUUAUUCAUGAAAAGGAAUAUGUUGCUAUGACUAAAGUUGAGGCUUAUCAAGGCUUAUUUCUCUUUAAGUUUAGCUCAGUUGUUCUCUAAAGCAGUUAGCUUAGCUAUACUGUUGGAGGGGAACCAUAGACACAUAGACAUUUUGUCACCGGGAUCUGUGAAUUUGUGACACCCUUAGCAUUGUCAAGAAAUUAUGGGGGGGAAGUGCAGGCAACUGAAAUGAAACAUUGCUAGACUGUGCAAUGUAGAUCACACUGCAUGUCACAGACAAACACCCUACUGUUGUAAAAAAAAUAAAUAAAUAAAUAAAAGGACCUUUUUUAAUGCUGUGUUAUAUGAGGCAAAAGAGUGAAUUCAUUUAAAAGUACCUGUUGUAACUUGUCAGUUUUGAUGUAAAUAGGCCUAGGCUAUAUACUGUGCGUUUUUGUCCACUGAAUAAAACUGUUCAAGCAAUUG